CAUUCCUCAUCCUUCCCUCAAGCAUCCCCGACAGGACCACCUGUCUCUUCGGGGUCCCCGCCAUCCCCUCCCUGCCUGCUGGGGGAUCCUAGCAGUGCAGGGCCCCAGCCCUCAUCUCCUGGGGGACCCCAGCCUGGAGCUCCCUGCCUUCCCCCACCCCCGGGGACCCAAGCGUCUGGCCAGCUGGGAGCGAAGCAAGGGAAUGUGGGGCCGAUGGGCCAGAAGCCUGAGCCCCCGCCCCUCCGCGGCCAGCACACAGAGCUCCAUUGUGGGGUCUGAAUGUGGGCCCGUCCCUCCCCCCCACCGCCCCCGGAGUGUCCCUCCGCGGAGGGGCCGGGCCGGACUGGGCGGAGGGAGGCGGGCGCCCGCACGGUUCCCAGCCCCGACUACCGGGCCCCACCCCCAGCCCUGGGAUCCCACGCCCGCCCCGGCGCCCCCCUCCCCCCCAUUGUUGGAGGGCAGACAAAGCUGCUCUUGUUCCCGGGCCGCGGGGGCCGGCCGUGUCUCUCCCCCACGGGGCCUUUGUCCACCGUUCCUGUCCACCCCCACUCAAGAGAGCCCGAGGAAGAAGCAUUUUGGAUAUAGGACGCCCAGCCCCCCUCCCCCACAGACACCCCCAAACACAUUCUACUGGUUCCUGCAGCGAGGGGGUGCGGUAGAGCCCAGCCCGCUACCCGCCCCCCCCAGCGGGUCCAGUCCUGGGGAACAGGGCGACUGUCCUGCGCUGGUGGGGGUGUGGCCUGCUGGCCAAGGCUGUGCUUAAAGCUGGCUCCUGCUGAACAGUGGGUCGUCAAGUCCUCCUUUCCUCUCCCCCCACCCCCACCCUGGGGGUCACAGAAAAAGGCAGGGCCUUGAAAAGUUACUUUCCGCCUCUCCCUGAGACUUGGCCUUUCCAACCUGGGUGGCUGGCUGUCCUUGGGAGGUCACUCCUCGUCUCGAAACUCAGUUUCUCCAUCCACGCAACGGGAGCUGUUUUCCUGAGUCAAGGCUGAGGUGGGAUGCUAGGACACCCUCCGGAAGACUGAGUGCGAGCAUGGGGAGCCCCGUCCCCACUUCCCCACCCGCCCUGGGGCCCCAUUACCAGCCGACGAGAAGGGCAGCGAUACAGCUCCAGGUGACACAGCCUCCCCCGGGUGGGGGGCUCUUGGCCCCAGGGGGCUCGGGGGGCCGGCAGCAGCAAAAGCGGAUGAGGUAGACAGCAAUGAAAAUGAGGCUCAGGCCCAAGCCUAGGCCCGCCAAGGCCGCCACCAGCAACAGGGCCUGGGGAAGGGGGAGACAGGAGGCCUCAGAGGGGCUGGAGGUCCUGGACGUGGGGGAUUCCAGUGGAGGUGGAAGGCAGCCCCGGCUAGAUUGGGGGUCAAGCCCAGCCUGUGGUUCUCAGUCUGUAGGGAAAGGUGGGGUCCCCAGCUCCUCCCAGGCUGGCAGCUGGGUCAGCGGAGGCCCAAAUCCUGGGUUCCAGUUCCACUCUGUGUGUGACCUUCCCCUCUCUGAGACUGUCCCUCCUCACCCCCACUAGGCGGUUGGAAUAGAGCCUCUCCUAGGACCUGCUGGGACCUGUCUCCGGAACCGAGUGGGAUCAGGGGGUGGACGGGGGCGCCUGUUCCUGGAGAUGUGUGCGCGAGGUUGGGGGUGGGCAGCCUGCCUCUCCCCUCCUCCUUGCUGCUCCUCCCCACUCACCGCUCGCUCUCUCCCCUGCUGCUGAGCUCUGCACACCCACCGCACUGUGAGUCUGUCACCCAGGGACUCACAGGGAGGGGGGCGUGACAGCCUCCAUGGCAGUGAGAGCGUGUGCAAGGCUCAGAGACGGAGACUUGGGACAGAGACAGAGAGAGAACCAAGGGCAGGGAGAGAACAGGCGUAUGCAGUUGGAAAAGCCUUGCGGCACAACCGGGCUCUCCACAGGGCAGGAUUUGACAGCGGGUGCCGUGCACUCCUGUCCUCUUCCGCACGCCCAGAACGGGGCAGGGCGUUACCUGGAGCCACACAGCACAGUAGGGACAACAUGGGGAACAGAACCAGA